rnacentral:rRNA from 1 species
GCAACUCGCCUACAUGAAGUCGGAAUCGCUAGUAAUCGCGGAUCAGCAUGCCGCGGUGAAUACGUUCCCGGGCCUUGUACACACCGCCCGUCACACCAUGAGAGUUUGUAACACCCAAAGCCGGUGGGGUAACCUUUUGGAGCCAGCCGUCUAAGGUGGGACAGAUGAUUGGGGUGAAGUCGUAACAAGGUAUC